rnacentral:rRNA from 1 species
ACGCUGGCGGCAGGCCUAACACAUGCAAGUCGAGCGGUAGAGAGAAGCUUGCUUCUCUUGAGAGCGGCGGACGGGUGAGUAAUGCCUAGGAAUCUGCCUGGUAGUGGGGGAUAACGUCCGGAAACGGACGCUAAUACCGCAUACGUCCUACGGGAGAAAGCAGGGGACCUUCGGGCCUUGCGCUAUCAGAUGAGCCUAGGUCGGAUUAGCUAGUUGGUGGGGCAAUGGCUCACCAAGGCGACGAUCCGUAACUGGUCUGAGAGGAUGAUCAGUCACACUGGAACUGAGACACGGUCCAGACUCCUACGGGAGGCAGCAGUGGGGAAUAUUGGACAAUGGGCGAAAGCCUGAUCCAGCCAUGCCGCGUGUGUGAAGAAGGUCUUCGGAUUGUAAAGCACUUUAAGUUGGGAGGAAGGGCAGUUACCUAAUACGUGAUUGUUUUGACGUUACCGACAGAAUAAGCACCGGCUAACUCUGUGCCAGCAGCCGCGGUAAUACAGAGGGUGCAAGCGUUAAUCGGAAUUACUGGGCGUAAAGCGCGCGUAGGUGGUUCGUUAAGUUGGAUGCGAAAUCCCCGGGCUCAACCUGGGAACUGCAUUCAAAACUGACGAGCUAGAGUAUGGUAGAGGGUGGUGGAAUUUCCUGUGUAGCGGUGAAAUGCGUAGAUAUAGGAAGGAACACCAGUGGCGAAGGCGACCACCUGGACUGAUACUGACACUGAGGUGCGAAAGCGUGGGGAGCAAAC